UGCCACGAUCCACUGAGAUU
rnacentral:snRNA from 1 species